rnacentral:rRNA from 1 species
GACGAACGCUGGCGGCGUGCUUAACACAUGCAAGUCGAACGGAAAGGCCCUGCUUGCAGGGUACUCGAGUGGCGAACGGGUGAGUAACACGUGGGUGAUCUGCCCUGCACUUCGGGUUAAGCCUGGGAAACUGGGUCUAAUACCGGAUAGGAGCCAUUUUUAGUGUGAUGGUUGGAAAGUUUUUUCGGUGUAGGAUGAGCCUGCGGCCUAUCAGCUUGUUGGUGGGGUAAUGGCCUACCAAGGCGGCGACGGGUAGCCGGCCUGAGAGGGUGGACGGCCACAUUGGGACUGAGAGACGGCCCAGACUCCUACGGGAGGCAGCAGUGGGGAAUAUUGAACAAUGGGCGCAAGCCUGAUGCAGCGACGCCGCGUGGGGGAUGACGGCCUUCGGGUUGUAAACUCCUUUCGCUAGGGACGAAGCUUUUUGUGACGGUACCUAGAUAAGAAGCACCGGCUAACUACGUG